rnacentral:rRNA from 1 species
UGAGGAAUAUUGGGCAAUGCUCGCAAGAGUGACCCAGCAACGCCGCGUGGAGGAUGAAGGUCGUAAGAUUGUAAACUCCUGUGAGAAGGGAUGAAAGAUAUUGUUUCGUAAGGGACAAUAGAUGACCGUACCUUCAGAGGAAGCCCCGGCUAACUACGUGCCAGCAGCCGCGGUAAUACGUAGGGGGCAAGCGUUGUCCGGAUUUACUGGGUGUAAAGGGCGCGCAGGCGGAUAGAUAAGUCAGAGGUGAAAGACUACAGCUCAACUGUAGAACUGCCUUUGAAACUGUUUAUCUUGAGUGCAGAAGAGAGAGGCGGAAUUCCAGGUGUAGUAGUGAAAUACGUAGAUAUCUGGAAGAACACCGGUGGCGAAGGCGGCCUCUUGGUCUGACACUGACGCUCAGGCGCGAAAGCGUGGGUAGCAAACAGG